rnacentral:rRNA from 1 species
GUGGGGAAUCUUCCGCAAUGGACGAAAGUCUGACGGAGCAACGCCGCGUGAGUGAUGAAGGUCUUCGGAUUGUAAAGCUCUGUUAAUCGGGACGAAAGAGCCUAGUGUGAAUAAUGCUAGGAAGUGACGGUACCGGAAUAGAAAGCCACGGCUAACUACGUGCCAGCAGCCGCGGUAAUACGUAGGUGGCAAGCGUUGUCCGGAAUUAUUGGGCGUAAAGCGCGCGCAGGCGGAUCUGCCAGUCUGUCUUAAAAGUUCGGGGCUUAACCCCGUGAUGGGAUGGAAACUACAGAUCUAGAGUAUCGGAGAGGAAAGUGGAAUUCCAAGUGUAGCGGUGAAAUGCGUAGAGAUUUGGAAGAACACCAGUGGCGAAGGCGACUUUCUGGACGAUGUCUGACGCUGAGGCGCGAAAGCUAGGGGAGCGAACGGGAUUAGAAACCCCGGUAGUCC